GACGAACGCUGGCGGCGUGCCUAAUACAUGCCAGUUGAGCGAUGAAGAUUGGUGCUUGCACCAAUUUGAAGAGCAGCGAACGGGUGAGUAACGCGUGGGGAAUCUGCCUUUGAGCGGGGGACAACAUUUGGAAACGAAUGCUAAUACCGCAUAACAACUUUAAACAUAAGUUUUAAGUUUGAAAGAUGCAAUUGCAUCACUCAAAGAUGAUCCCGCGUUGCAUUAGCUAGUUGGUGAGGUAAAGGCUCACCAAGGCGAUGAUACAUAGCCGACCUGAGAGGGUGAUCGGCCACAUUGGGACUGAGACACGGCCCAAACUCCUACGGGAGGCAGCAGUAGGGAAUCUUCGGCAAUGGACGAAAGUCUGACCGAGCAACGCCGCGGGAGUGAAGAAGGGUUUCGGAUCGUAAAACUCUGUUGGUAGAGAAGAACGUUGGUGAGAGUGGAAAGCUCAUCAAGUGACGGUAACUACCCAGAAAGGGACGGCUAACUACGUG
rnacentral:rRNA from 1 species